rnacentral:rRNA from 1 species
GAUGAACGCUGGCGGCGUGCCUAAUACAUGCAAGUCGAGCGAACAGACGAGGAGCUUGCUCCUCUGACGUUAGCGGCGGACGGGUGAGUAACACGUGGAUAACCUACCUAUAAGACUGGGAUAACUUCGGGAAACCGGAGCUAAUACCGGAUAAUAUAUUGAACCGCAUGGUUCAAUAGUGAAAGACGGUUUUGCUGUCACUUAUAGAUGGAUCCGCGCCGCAUUAGCUAGUUGGUAAGGUAACGGCUUACCAAGGCAACGAUGCGUAGCCGACCUGAGAGGGUGAUCGGCCACACUGGAACUGAGACACGGUCCAGACUCCUACGGGAGGCAGCAGUAGGGAAUCUUCCGCAAUGGACGAAAGCCUGACGGAGCAACGCCGCGUGAGUGAUGAAGGUCUUCGGAUCGUAAAACUCUGUUAUUAGGGAAGAACAAAUGUGUAAGUAACUAUGCACGUCUUGACGGUACCUAAUCAGAAAGCCACGGCUAACUACGUG